GUCUGAUGUGGCUCGGGGAGGACCCUAUGGGGUUCCUAUGCAUCCCUAUGGGCGCUAUGAGGACCUCUGCAGGCCCUAUAGGACUCUGGGAGGAUCCUAUUGGGCUCUGGACAAAUCUUAUGGGUCUCAGUGGGGCUCUAGGAGGACCCCGUAUGGUUCUUAUGCGUCCCUAUGGGCACUACGAGGAUCUUUGGAGGCCCUAUGGGGCUAUCAGAGAAUAUCUGGGUACCACACGGGGCUCUAGGAGGACUUCUAAGGCCCUGGGAGGACCUUUGAGGGCCCUACGGGCUCUAGGAGGAUACUAUGGGUUGCAAUGGGGCUCUGGGACAACCUUUGGGGGCCCUAAGGGGCCAUGGGAGGACCUCUGGGUGUGUAUAGGGCUCUGGGAGGACCUCUGGGUGCCCUACGGGGGCCCUGGGAGGACCUCUGGGUGUCUAUGGGGCUCUGGGAGGACCUCUGGGUGCCCUAUGGGGGCCCUGGGAGGACCUCUGGGUGCCCUACGGGGGCCCUGGGAGGACCUCUGGGUGCCCUACGCGGCUCUGGGAGGACCUCUGGGUGCCCUACGGGGGCCCUGGGAGGACCUCUGGGUGUCUAUGGGGCUCUGGGAGGACCUCUGGGUGCCCUGUGGGGCUCUGGGAGGACCUCUGGGUGCCCUACGGGGGCCCUGGGAGGACCUCUGGGUGUGUAUAGGGCUCUGGGAGGACCUCUGGGUGCCCUAUGGGGGCCCUGGGAGGACCUCUGGGUGCCCUACGGGGCUCCGGGAGGACCUCUGGGUGUCUAUAGGGCUCCAGGAGGACCCCUGGGUGCCCCAUAGGUCUCACCAUCCCCAUAGAUGCUGUCAGGGUUCAGCUCCAGCGCGGUGCUGGGCAGCGGCUGCAGCAGCUCCUCCUGUGCCCGGCGUCUGCUGCGCGCCAGCGCCUCGGAGCGCGGCCCCCCCAGCUGCAGCCGGAACCUGGGGGGGGGCACAGCACUGAGACCCCCAUAACCACCCUAUAACGACCCCAUAACCACCCCAUAGUAACCACCCCAUAGUCCCCCCAGCUGCAGCCGGAACCUGGGGGGGGCACAGCACUGAGACCCCCAUAGCCACCCUAUAACGACCCCAUAACCACCCCAUAGUAACCACCCCAUAAUCCCCCAGCUGCAGCCGGAACCUGGGGGGGGCACAGCACUGACACCCCCAUAAUCACCCUAUAACCACCCCAUAACCACCCCAUAGUCCCCCAGAUGCAGCCAGAACCUGGGGGAGUAAGGGGGGGCACAGCAUUGAGACACCCAUAACCACCCCCUAACCCCUCAAUUCCCCCCACAGCCCCCUCAGAACCCC
rnacentral:lncRNA from 1 species